UUGGACUAUAAUAAAAAAAAAUUUAUAAUCCCGAAGCAAGAAGAUCUAACUAUUAAGUAAUAAGGUAUAGCAAUAAUUAAGUGUAAUGUAGCAAAAUUACAUAGAGAACAAUAGUUAGGGGUGAAAGGCCUUACAAUUCUUGCUUAUAUCUGGAUUAAGCUUAAAGAUAUUUAGUAUUUAAGCCAAGUUUGAAAAUCUAAGCUUUCAAACCAACUAAAAUGUGUUAGUAGGAAGAAACAGCUUAUUAAUAUAAAAGUGUGACCUUUAAAAAACAAUAAAAUUACUAUAGUCUUUGUUCUAUAAGCUUAUAAGGUGGUUAAUUAAUUUUUUCCCAGUUUUAAUAAUGUUUAAAUGAGUAACAAUAUUCAAAAGAUUAUAAGGAACUCGGCAAAAUUAAUCCCCUCAACUGUUUAUCAAAAACAUAGCCAUUUGUUGAAUAUAAUUGGUUGUUUCUGCCCGGUGAACAUAUUUUUUUAACGGCCGCAGUACACUGACUGUGCAAAGGUAGCAUAAUCAAUUGGCUUUUAAUUGGAGUCGGGAAUGAAGGAGUUCAUGGGGGGAUGCUGUCUUAUUUCUUUUUUUAUGAAUUUACUAAGCAAGUGCAAAUUCUUGCUCUAGUAACUUUAAUAGACGAGAAGACCCUAUAAAUUUUUACUAAAGAAAUUAUAUUACUGUUUCUUUGUUUUUGUUGGGGCAACAAGUUAACAAUAUUUAAUCAAAUUUAACUAAUUAUCGUUAAAAACUUUACGAGUUUUACUAGAAAUGGAUAAAUUACUAUAGGGAUAACAGCAUAAUUUUUCUUCUAAGAUUGUGACCUCGAUGUUGGAUUAGGGUCUUAUUAAAUAAACAAUUUAUUUAAGCGGUUCUGUUCGAACUUUUUUACCU
rnacentral:rRNA from 1 species